GACAGAGGGUGCAAACGUUGCUCGGAAUUACUGGGCGUAAAGCGCGUGUAGGCGGCUCCGUAAGUCGGGUGUGAAAUCCCUCGGCUCAACUGAGGAAGUGCACUCGAUACUGCAGAGCUAGAGUACCGGAGAGGGUGGUGGAAUUCCUGGUGUAGAGGUGAAAUUCGUAGAUAUCAGGAGGAACACCGGCGGCGAAGGCGGCCACCUGGACGGAUACUGACGCUCAGACGCGAAAGCGUGGGUAGCAAACAGGAUUAGAUACCCUGGUAGUCCACGCUGUAAACGAUGGGUACUAGGUGUCGCGGGUAUUGACCCCUGCGGUGCCGAAGCUAACGCAUUAAGUACCCCGCCUGGGGACUACGGCCGCAAGGCUAAA
rnacentral:rRNA from 1 species